rnacentral:rRNA from 1 species
GUCGAACGAGAAAGCCACCUUCGGGUGGCGAGUACAGUGGCGCACGGGUGAGUAACGCGUGGGUAAUCUGCCCUCGGGUCUGGGAUAACCCCGGGAAACUGGAGCUAAUACCGGAUGAGACCACGAGCACCUCGGUGCUUGCGGGAAAAGGUGGCCUCUCGACGAAGCCACUGCCUGAGGAUGAGCCUGCGUCGCAUUAGCUAGUUGGUGAGGUAACGGCUUACCAAGGCGACGAUGCGUAGCUGGUCUGAGAGGACGACCAGCCACACUGGAACUGAGACACGGUCCAGACUCCUACGGGAGGCAGCAGUCGGGAAUUUUGGGCAAUGGGGGAAACCCUGACCCAGCAACGCCGCGUGAGGGAUGAAGGCCUUCGGGUCGUAAACCUCUGUCGAGAGGGAAGAAUGAUCUCUGGUCGAACAGGCCAGGGAUUUGACGGUACCUCCAAAGGAAGCACCGGCUAACUCCGUGCCAGCAGCCGCGGUAAUACGGAGGGUGCAAGCGUUGUUCGGAAUUACUGGGCGUAAAGCGCGUGUAGGCGGCUUGGCAAGUCGGGUGUGAAAUCCCGGGGCUCAACCCCGGAACUGCAUUCGAAACUGCCUGGCUGGAGUCCCGGAGAGGGUGGUGGAAUUCCCAGUGUAGAGGUGAAAUUCGUAGA